AUUUGUCAAGCCCCGUGCUUUACAUGAGCAUGCAAGCUGCAUUGCAAAGAAAAGAAAGAACUUUAAUAUCUGCAGCAUUUUCUUUCUAAACUUGGGUAGUAUGUAUAUGAGUGUUUGUUAUAUUUUUGUGAGGUUUUCUGGCUUUCAGAAAUAUUGAUAGCAAAUAGUAUGACUGCUAAUAUUAAUAAUAUGCCUCAGUAUUCAAAAGUGCAGAAUAAUAUGCUGGACCAUUUCCCUCAGCCCUCCCACCCUCCUAGGCUCUGCAGAUGCAUGAGUUCGUGCCGUCUGACCUAAGCUGGCUUUAGUGAGAAAAAUGUCCCAUAGAAGUGGUGAGAUUUGCCCCAGGACACAGAGCAUGAAGGUGCCAGGGCCUAGAGCAGAACUUUGGUCACCUGACCCAGCAACCAUAAAUAUUUACUGAGCACGUAUUGUGUGGGGGAGGUGUCUCAGGAAAUAAAAUGCCACAGUCUCACCUGCCCAAGCUCACUGUCCUUGGGUACUAGUAAUGACGUAUGACCUCAGCAUUGAUAGUCACUCGUGCACAUGUCAUCAUACAUAAUAGUACAUAAAGGGCAUAAGAGAGAGUCUGUCAUGGACAAAUGGAAGUGGUGAUCUGUAGCCAGCUUACACAGGCUGAAGGUGGCCAUUAGUACCUGCAUCUUCCCAACUUUGUAUCCAGUGAUGUGCAUUUGGACACCCUAACUUCUGCUGUGGUGGGAGCAUUUACACUGUGGAAAUUGGCAAAUGCUACAAAUUGGAGUUUCUUUUUUUGUGGAGAGGGAGUUGUCAAACACUUGCCAGCACAAGCCUAGUAAACAAUCUGCUGGGAGACAGAAGCUCCCAGGAAGGCUGGUGAAGAGAGAUCCAGCGGAAAAGCGCCUGUCCUCUCUGCUGCCGGCUCCUUCCCUGUCUCUCCAAGGCAUGGAGCCAGUGCCCAGGGCCACCGUGAGACCUGGGAAUGGUGCCACCCUGGAGGACAAGAAUGGAAGCCACAUCCACUCAGGGGGCCCCAACAGAUCAGGUGACACAAGGG
rnacentral:lncRNA from 1 species